rnacentral:tmRNA from 1 species
GGGGGUGACUUUGGAUUUGAUGGAAGGACCUCGUAGAUAUUGAUAGCCACUGCUGCAUGGUUCUACAGCAUAAUCACGGACCAAACUCAAAAUGCUAACGCAUCUAAAUCUCUCCUUGCGAGAGCUAAAGCUUACGUUGCUACUCCAGCUUACUGCUAGGAUUUAGUACCGCUUUAGAAUCAACCUUUACGUCUGACUCCUCCUAUGUGUAGAGGUGAAAUUAGGGGGAACUUAUAGUUGUUGAAACGAAUAAAGAUAAGUAGUUUGUGAUUUCUCUCGUCUUUCCCUGUCUCAAUAACUUUAAACCCCGUAGUUACGUACGGGGCUAGGUCUUUUAGGUCUAGAAUAGUGGUUAGAAAAGUCGCUAUAGUGGUAGAAGUUGGUAUGUAUGCCUUUUAGACCGGAGUUCGAUUCUCCGCACCUUCAGGA